rnacentral:lncRNA from 1 species
AUGGGAAACCAACUGGGGACCCAAAUAAGAACGGAGAUUGGAGAAAUCUCGACGUGAUAUCAAAACCCUAGAAUUUUCGAUUGUAAUUUCAAAGAAAAAAUCGAAUUUCAGACAAGAACUCGUCGGGGGGUAGCCGGAGGUGGCUGGGCAUGGCUCCAGGCCAUGCUAUUCAAUGGUUUCAUGGGGGGCGAUGCCUUCUGGGCGUCAAGUCUAGGUGUUGGGCCUGGAGCUGUAGCUCUAGGAUAGGUUCUUAGCUCGGGAAAGCAUGGGGGUGGCUCAUCGCCAUGGAUGAAGGUCACGGGUUAGAAAGAACCCUAGGUUUCCCGUUUUAAUAAUAUUUCUUUUAUUUUUAUUUCAAUUCAAUUAUAUACAUAUAUAAUUCAAUUCAACAUAAAUUCAAUUUAAUAGUAUGCAUAUGCAAAAAUAUUUGAUGCAAUUCAUGCCAAUAUCAAAUUCACAUAAUUUCAACAAUUAUGAUUAUGAGGCAUACACAAUUUAUGUAGAAUCUAAAAUUCGUAAAACGUAAAGUUGGGUCCUGCAUCAUGGUGAAUGUUCAUGCUAUCAGGGCUGCAAAAAUAUUGAGUUAAAAGCCGUUGUUUUGAAAGAACCUGAUUGCGUGAUGAUAUGGAUGAACUGGUUUGAUGCAGAAAAAUUCUUCAAUGUUAGAUUCUUUAGCGCAGCGGUAGAAGCGUGCUGAUAACGUGUUGUGGUCUAUUUUAUCUGAUAAUAUAGGGUGGCCGGCGGCAAGGAGAAGAGAGAAAAGAUAGAUGUGUUUGUGGAAUUGUAGGGGAAUGUGUGUUGUUAUCCCUCCUACAUUGUGCCCUUAUUUAUAGUAGUAGAAGGAGAGAAGAUAUUCCUUCUUCCCCAAGUACUACAAGUUGUAAUAAGAAAGGAUAACUAGAAUCAAAUCUAAUCUAGAAUUUACACAAUCACACUUAAACUAGAAUGUUUACAAUAACUUGUAUAAAAAUAAUACUAAUAAUUAAAAUAAAGGGCUUUUAGAUCCAGGUCCAAGAAUAUAGGUUGUUUUUUGGUGUGAGUCGAGUUAUCUAAUUACAUAUUUUUAUACUAAUUUUGUCUUUUUAGACAAAUAUUUAAAUUCAUUAACUUUUGUGCAAAGGUAGAUUAUAAAAAAGAAAAAAAAAACGUAAUUCAAUUAAUAUGUGUUAUAGGUAGAAUAUGAAAAAAAAAAAAAAAAACCUAUGAUAUAGGUAGAUAAAUAAUUAAACAUACAUUAUACCUAUAAGAGAGAUAUUAAACCUAACUAAAAGGUACCAAAACAUAAUAUACCUACAAGCAAGACACAUUAAUCAGUGAUACAUGUUGAUUAUAAAAAAGAAUCAUUCAUAUAGGUAGAUAAAUACAAUUAACAAUGUGAUAUACUUUGAUUAUCUUUAGAGCAAAAAGAAGAAUAACAACAAAUAACAACAAAAAAAAGAAGAUAAAUACAAUUAAUUUUUAUAGUAAAUAUUAUCAAUAAAUAAAUAAUUAUUGAUAAUAAAAUAAUCCUAAAUGACACAUCCCGACCCAAAUUGUCCACUAGGACUUCGAAUCGAGUUGUGCUAGCCGACACCUGGAAGGUGACGAAGCCAUAA